CUGUUCUAGAUGUGGUUUCAUUUACAUUCAGGUCAUAGUUGAACACGCCUAUUGUCUUUGGGUCAUAAGAAAGACAGCUGUUGUACAGAAAGAAGUUCUUGCCUGUGAGUAAGUCCUUAUUAUAAAAUCUUCUGGAGGCUAACCCUGUAUGAUUUGGUGUACUGAAAGAAGUAAGAAUCACUUACUUCUAAGAACAUGCCUUCUGUCAAAUGCUUGGGACUUGGGAUCCUCUUACUGUUCACGAAGAGUAAUGGAGAUUCUGUGACCCAGACAGAAGGUCCAGUUACUGUCACAGAGAGGGCAUCUGUAAUGCUGAACUGCACCUACCAGACCACUUAUUCAGUUCCCACGGUUUUCUGGUACAUCCAAGAUCUCAACAAAGCCCCUCAGCUGCUCCUGAAGACAGCAACUGAAAACCAGAGGACGGAGAACCGAGGGUUUCACGCCACGCUUGUGAAGAGCAGUAACUCCUUCCACCUGCACAAGUCCUCACUGCAGCUGUCAGACUCGGCCCUGUACUACUGCGCUGUGAGUGACACAGUGCGGGAAACUGCAGGGGGAGCUGAGCACAAACCCAGGCUCACAGGAGGGCUGCAGGGGAGCGGCCCUGUGAGGGAAGGUUACAUGCUUUCUCUAAGCAGUGUUUAUUUAGCUUUCACAAGAACAGUAAUAAAUCCAAGAUCAAAUUCCUAG